ACACACAGCUGCGGUGCCCCGCGGUCCCGGGGGAGAGCCGGGUGCGCUCCGAAGAGGGACCUGAAUGGUGUAACCGAGGCUUUUUGUUGGGAAGCGUUUCUGUGCGCAGUGACGUUUUCCGUCGGGGCUCACGGCCGGCACGAGGCGAGGCUGCCCUUCAGGAGAAGCGCCUUUAUUUCCGUGCGCGAGGAAAGCGGCCGCUGCUGGGGAUGCUCCUCGGGAAGCACCCAGCAGAAGCACACGUGGAACUGCAUGGCACGAUGAGCUUUUGUCAACACGUGGAUGGACUGUCAUGACAUGAGGAUGGACGGUCGUGAUACGAGGAUGGGCUGUGACAACACGCCAAGUUUCUGGGUGCAGGUGGGAGCUGUCCAGCAGGGCCCAGAGCUCUGUUCUGCUGCACCAGGCAAACACCAGGGAUCAGUUUUUUCUCCUGUAAAGGCAAGAGAAAUGGGUGUUUUAAAAAUGUCCUCAUGGAGGGGAGAUUACUGUUGUGUACAUAUAAAGUUACCUAUCUCAGACCUCAGUUAUAUCAUCACUGAGCAUACAGUGCUCAGCUGAGCCUUUGUCAGCUGCUGAUAUUAAGGACACAUUGAAGAACAGAUUUAUUGGGCUGCUGUCUGCAGUGAGCACACUAGAGGAGAAGUAAGACUGUCCCAUUGCAAGAGGUUUCAUUCUACUUCGUGCUGAACCAAAAGGAAUCGAUCAGACCAAGGUUAAGGGGAUUUCCCCAGGAACCCAGAAACUACUGGGAUGAAUCUUCCAGGAAUGACACUGCCUUGGAAUGCCUCUUGCAGCUUUGCAGGAAGACCAGAGGGGCUGCACCUGGACCUGGGGAUUCCACCUAGGGCAGUAACAACCUUCCUGGGUAUCCUGAGCACGAGGAGACAAAUUUGCAGGGACAGCUGGAGGAGCACAUGGGAUGGUGUGCAGCACAGAGGAGGGAGCCGACAUGAGAAAAGCACCAAGAACAAUGUGAGCAUGACCCAGGACUGCCCACCUCCAGGCUCCUUCCAGCAACAUGCUGCUCCUUCCAGGUGGAGCCACAGCAAGACAACUGUGGGAACACAAUCUCAGACUUCAGCAUCCUCAGUUCCCAACCACUUUGCUACCCAACCUCCGAUGUCUGUUAAGCUCUCCUUUCCUAUGGUCAAGAUGAAGCCUAACGUGGUGGCUGGUUAUCUCACAUCAGCUUAAUGCAAGCUCCUUCUCACUGCCUGCCCUGAGCACACCAUCAAGCAUUGGUGCUCAGACACGUCAGGAGGAGGUACUGUGCAAACGCCCUGCAAAGGGAUUCUGCAGGUAGAAGACAAGAGACAAUGAGACGUACAAGGGCAGCAAUAAUGGGCUACUUAGGUCAAAGUUUUCUUCCUUGAUACUACGAUGCAGCCCCAAAGUCUCAUUCUACACAGACCCCAUCCCACACACCCAAAUCUCAGACUCAUCAGAAUGCAGAUGACCACAGCUUGCUGCAGUGCUGCACUCAGCCUUCUCCUGCAUUAUUUAUGGUUAUUCUCUUUGGGAAAGAAAAUAAACAACAACAACAAAC
ensembl:lncRNA